rnacentral:rRNA from 1 species
GAUGAAGCUGGCGGCGUGCCUAACACAUGCAAGUCGAACGGAGUGGCGGACGGGUGAGUAACACGUGGGUAACCUGCCUCAUAGAGGGGGAUAACAGAGAGAAAUCACUGCUAAUACCGCAUACUAUGAGAUGGACCCGCGACUGAUUAGCCGGUUGGUAAGGUAAGGGCUUACCAAAGCAACGAUCAGUAGCCGAUCUGAGAGGGUGACCGGCCACAUUGGGACUGAGAUACGGCCCAGACUCCUACGGGAGGCAGCAGUGGGGGAUAUUGCACAAUGGGCGAAAGCCUGAUGCAGCGACGCCGCGUGGGGAUGAAGGCUUUCGGGUUGUAAACUCUUUCGCUAUCGAACGGGUAGGUGGAGAAGAAGCGCCGGCUAACUACGUGCCAGCAGCCGCGGUAAUAC